GACGAACGCUGGCGGCGUGCUUAACACAUGCAAGUCGAACGGCAAGGCCCUGCUUGCUGGCUACUCGAGUUGCGAACUGGUGAGUAACUCGUGGGUGCUCUGCCCUCCACUUCUUGAUAAGCCUUGGCAACUGGGUCUAAUCCCUGAUAGCAGCCACUUUUUGUGUGUUGGUUCGAAAGUUUUUUCGGUGUUGGAUGAUCUCGCGGGCUAUCAGCUUGUUGGUGGGGUAAUGGCCUACCAACGCGGCGACGGGUAGCCCGACUGAGGGGGUGGACGGCGACAUUGGGACUGAGGGAAGGCAGAGACUGCGAAGGGAGGAAGAAGUGGGGAAGACUGAACAAUGGGCGCAAGCCUGAUGCAGCGAGGCCGCGUGGGGGAUGACGGCCUUCGGGUUGAAGAAUAGUUUCGCGAGGGAAGAAGCUUUUUGUGACGGUACCUAGAUAAGAAGCACCGGCUAACUACGUG
rnacentral:rRNA from 1 species